rnacentral:rRNA from 1 species
GAUGAACGCUAGCUACAGGCUUAACACAUGCAAGUCGAGGGGCAGCAUGGUCUUAGCUUGCUAAGGCCGAUGGCGACCGGCGCACGGGUGAGUAACACGUAUCCAACCUGCCGUCUACUCUUGGACAGCCUUCUGAAAGGAAGAUUAAUACAAGAUGGCAUCAUGAGUCCGCAUGUUCACAUGAUUAAAGGUAUUCCGGUAGACGAUGGGGAUGCGUUCCAUUAGAUAGUAGGCGGGGUAACGGCCCACCUAGUCUUCGAUGGAUAGGGGUUCUGAGAGGAAGGUCCCCCACAUUGGAACUGAGACACGGUCCAAACUCCUACGGGAGGCAGCAGUGAGGAAUAUUGGUCAAUGGGCGAGAGCCUGAACCAGCCAAGUAGCGUGAAGGAUGACUGCCCUAUGGGUUGUAAACUUCUUUUAUAGAGGAAUAAAGUCGGGUAUGGAUACCCGUUUGCAUGUACUUUAUGAAUAAGGAUCGGCUAACUCCGUG